rnacentral:lncRNA from 1 species
GAGGGCAUGCACGGCGCGGACAUGCUGCCCCAGCCCUACCUAGAUGCCAGCUGUCCCAUGCUACCCACUGCGCUGGUGAGUUUCAACCGCUCCCCCAGCGCACAUCCAGGAACUGGAGCCUUGCCACCCGCGGCGACCACGGGCCGGGGAGCAGCGUCCAGCCUGCGCAAAAGGAAGGCAUCCCCGGAGCCUCCAGACUCAGCUGAAAGCGCACUGAAGCUCGGUGAGGAGCAGCAGAGGCAGCAGUGGAUGGCAAACCAGAGCUAGGCGCUGAAGCUCACGAUGUCUGUGGCGGGGCUUUGUGGCGCCCGGACACGCAGCAGGGGUGACCGCCUCCGCCCCCUCCACCCCUGGGACCUCAUUCCAAUCGGACCACCCCGCCGGAGUCAGCCCCUCAGAACGGUCCGUCCCCCAUGGCUGCCCUCAUGUCGGUAGCAGACAGUUUGGGCACAGCUCAUUCGCCCAAGGUCGGCAGUUUAGUGCACUCGACCACUACAUCUGCUAGGCGAAACAGCAGCAGUCCGGUGUCUCCCGCCUCCGUGCCGGGGCAGUGUCGCCUGGCAUCUCGCAAUGGGGACCUGAAUUUACAGGUGGCGCCCCCGCCACCUAGCGCCUACCCGGGCAUAGACCAAGUACACCCCCAAACCAUUCCGGAUUCCCCAAUGGCCAACAGCGGAUCCCUCUGCUGUGCCAUUUGCCACGAACGUUUGGAGGACACGCAUUUCGUUCAGUGUCUGUCCGUUCCUAGCCACAAAUUUUGUUUCCCUUGUUCUAGAGAGAGUAUCAAGGCCCAGGGGGCCACAGGUGAGGUGUAAUGCCCCAGCGGAGAGAAAUGCCC